AGCGAACGCUGGCGGCAGGCCUAACACAUGCAAGUCGAACGAACCCUUCGUGGUUAGUGGCGGACGGGUGAGUAACACGUGGGCACGAGACGUUAGGUUCGGAAUAACUCAGGGAUACUUGUGCUAACACCGAAUGUGCCCUUCGGGGGAAAGAUUUAUCGCCUUUAGAGCGGCACGCGUCUGAUUAGCUAGUUGUUGAGGUAAAGGCUAACCAAGGCUACGAUCAGCUGCUGGUCUGUAAGGAUGACCAGUCACAUUGGGAGCGAGACACGUCCCAAACUCCUACGGGAGGCAGCAGUGGGGGAUCUUGCGCAAUGGGCGAAAGCCUGACGCAGCCAUGCCUCGUAGAUGAUGAAGGUCUUAGGAUUGUAAAAUCCUUUCACCGGUGAAGAUAAUGACUGUAGCCGGAUAAAAAGCCCCGGCUAUCUUCGUGCCAGCAGCCGCCGUAACAC
rnacentral:rRNA from 1 species